rnacentral:rRNA from 1 species
AUUGAACGCUGGCGGCAUGCCUUACACAUGCAAGUCGAACGGCAGCACGGGUGCUUGCACCUGGUGGCGAGUGGCGAACGGGUGAGUAAUACAUCGGAACAUGUCCUGUAGUGGGGGAUAGCCCGGCGAAAGCCGGAUUAAUACCGCAUACGAUCCACGGAUGAAAGCGGGGGACCUUCGGGCCUCGCGCUAUAGGGUUGGCCGAUGGCUGAUUAGCUAGUUGGUGGGGUAAAGGCCUACCAAGGCGACGAUCAGUAGCUGGUCUGAGAGGACGACCAGCCACACUGGGACUGAGACACGGCCCAGACUCCUACGGGAGGCAGCAGUAGGGAAUUUUGGACAAUGGGCGAAAGCCUGAUCCAGCAAUGCCGCGUGUGUGAAGAAGGCCUUCGGGUUGUAAAGCACUUUUGUCCGGAAAGAAAUCCUUGACUCUAAUACAGUCGGGGGAUGACGGUACCGGAAGAAUAAGCACCGGCUAACUACGUG